rnacentral:misc_RNA from 1 species
UAUUUUAUAUUAGUUAGAAUGGUUGUGAUUUAAAAGUUUAUAAGUAAUAAAUGUUGGAGAGGGUGUGGAGAAAAGGGAAUUUUUUUAUAUUGUUGGUGGGAAUGUAAAUUAGUAUAGUUAUUAUGGAGAAUAGUGUGGAGAUUUUUUAAAAAAUUGGAAAUAGAAUUGUUUUAUGAUUUAGUAAUUUUAUUGUUGGGUAUAUAUAUUGAGGAAAUUAGAAGGGAAAGAGAUACGUGUAUUUUAAUGUUUAUCGUAGUAUUGUUUAUAAUAGUUAGGAUAUGGAAGUAAUUUAGAUGUUUAUUAGUAGAUGAAUGGAUAAGAAAGUUGUGGUAUAUAUAUAUAAUGGAGUAUUAUUUAGUUAUUAAAAAGAAUAUAUUUGAAUUAGUUUUAAUGAGGUGGAUGAAAUUGGAGUUUAUUAUAUAGAGUGAAGUAAGUUAGAAAGAAAAAUAUUAAUAUAGUAUAUUAAUGUAUAUAUAUGGAAUUUAGAAAGAUGGUAAUAAUAAUUUUGUGUACGAGAUAGUAAAAGAGAUAUUGAUGUAUAGAAUAGUUUUUUGGAUUUUGUGGGAGAGGGAGAGGGUGGGAUGAUUUGGGAGAAUGGUAUUGAAAUAUGUAUAAUAUUAUAUAUGAAAUAA